rfam:Sandaracinus amylolyticus strain DSM 53668, complete genome.
CGAAUCCCGCCUCGGAACGUCGAGCCCGACGACCGGGAAGCGAGCCUUGCGAUCGACGCGGUAACGCGUCGGGCGAUGCGUAGGUACGCGAGCGUUCGAGCCGUGGAGUCAGCGCCGAAAUGGGGCGAUUCCGGGUGCCCAGGGUUUCACCCGACCUGAAGGCGACGGUGUCCGAUCCGCGAUUGGGCGAGGAGACGACACACCCGGCGGAGUGUGAGAGAC